rnacentral:rRNA from 1 species
AAUCAACGCUGGCGGCGUGCCUAACACAUGCAAGUCGCACGAGAAAGGGACUUCGGUCCUGAGUAAAGUGGCGCACGGGUGAGUAACACGUGAAUCAUCUACCUUCGAGUGGGGAAUAACUGAGAGAAAUCUUAGCUAAUACCGCAUAAUACCUACGGGUCAAAGCAGCAAUGCGCUUGAAGAGGAGUUCGCGGCAGAUUAGUUAGUUGGCGGGGUAAUGGCCCACCAAGACGAUGAUCUGUAUCCGGCCUGAGAGGGCGCACGGGACACACUGGAACUGAAACACGGUCCAGACUCCUACGGGAGGCAGCAGUGGGGAAUUUUGCGCAAUGGGGGAAACCCUGACGCAGCAACGCCGCGUGGAGGAUGAAAUCCCUUGGGAUGUAAACUCCUUUCGAUCGGGAAGAUAAUGACGGUACCGAGAGAAGAAGCCCCGGCUAACUUCGUGCCAGCAGCCGCCGUAAU